UCCUGUGUAGUUCAAUUGGUAAAACAUGGUUUUGCAAUGCCAUGGCUAAUGGUUCAAAUCCCCCAGAGGAC